AAAGCUUAAGACUUUGAAGGCUAUGGUGUUUAUAGCUUGGAAGGGUAUGAGGAAGAAGGAAAAGCUUGGAGUUAUGCUUGCUGAGGCUUUAUAGGGAAGAUGGAGGAUUUCAAGGCUGAGACUGUAGAAGAAAUGGUUGUGAUAGCUGAGGAAUGGCUGGGAUGGCUGCUGGAAUGCUUGCAGCAGUCGAAGGGAGGAAGCAUGGUGGUUUGAUGGUUGCUGGGUUGCUUAAGUAACCAAGAGAUGAAGGUUGAUGGCUUUAGAAUAACUGUGAUGGCUGCUGGAAUGCUUGUAGUAGGUGAAGAAAGGGUGAGUUCUCAUGGUUGC
rnacentral:lncRNA from 1 species